ensembl:lncRNA
GUCGUAUUUGUCGCUGGGUAGACCUGUUUGUUUUCGGUCGGUAUUAUGUAAGCGUAUUAUAUCGCAAAUCCGGCGGAGAUGUUGGGGGAGAAUUUACUUUGCGAAGGGUUCUUUGAUAAGUGCUCAAAAACCCAUCCCCGGAAUCAGGCCUGAUACCGGGAGAAGACGUUUCGACUUACUGAACCUAUGUAGGGCUCAGGGGUACAGAUUGGCCAUGCGAUGGUGACGAAAUGGUGACUCUCUUCCGAACGCCAGUCGCUGUCCCAGCUUCCUGCUCCACUGCUAUUCUGACGUUCAGGUCGUAGAUCACAUUUUCUAUCAACCAUACUGAUGUUAACCCACUUGAAUGAUCCUACUUCAUAAAAGGAGCCCCUGUCCUUAACACACAUCAUCAGUGGAUUCCUCGUCCUCCAUCCGUU